GAUUUCUGAGCAUUUCUCUGCUAGUUGCACUUGCUGGGUGCAGCUGCAUGGAUGGACUGCAACUCAGAAUCUCGGUAAAGCACAAGCACUUCAAGUCAACCUUCCAGGCACACCUUUCAGUCUCAGUAAAGCAAUCAGAGCCUACCUUUCAGUCGGUAAGUCGAA